rnacentral:rRNA from 1 species
GGUCGACCCGCUGAACUUAAGCAUAUCAGUAAGCGGAGGAAAAGAAAGUAACAACGAUUUCCUUAGUAAUGGCGAAUGAACAGGAAUUAGCCCAAUGCCGAAUCCUGCACCUUUGGUGUUUGGAAAUGUGGCGUAAGGGACUGUUCUUACGGUUUAUUGUUGCGGUUUCAAGUUCACUUGAUUGUGGCAUCAAGCCCAAAGAGGGUGCAAGGCCCGUAGAAACCGCACAAUUUAUCUAGAGCAGUCUCAAGAGUAGAGUUGUUUGGGAUUGCAGCUCAAAUAUGGGAGGUAAACUCCUCCUAAGGCUAAAUACAACACGAGUCCGAUAGCGAACAAGUACCAUGAGGGAAAGUUGAAAAGAACUUUGAAGAGAGAGUUCAACAGUGCGUGAAACCGCUCAAAGGGAACCAGGUAGAGCUGAAGGAGACUUGGCUUAUUUGUGCCUCAUGCUGGUCAUGUUUUAAGUGCAGAGACUCAUUGCUCGGCUUUUAGCAUGUUCUUGUGUGUCGUACUAUUUUGCUUUGUCGACACCACGAUCAUUUGUUAGAGAGGUCUGGCAUUGUCAGGAAGGUAGCUUGCAUUUUUGUAAGUGUUAUAGCCUGACUUUCUAGCACCACUUGAGAAAUGGCAUUUAGCAUUAUUGUAAUGUUUAGUUGAUGGGGAACACUGCUUUUCUAACUCUCUAAGAGAUAGGAUUGCUGUUGCAACCUUUUGACUGGGCCUCUUGCAGUUUUGUUCAAAUCUGUGGUGGCAUGGUAGGCAUUCUACCUGACCCGUCUUGAAACACGGACCAAGGAGUUUAGCAUGUACGCGAGUCAUGGGGUUGUACGAAACCUAAAGGCGCAGUGAAAGUGAAGGCUAACCUUUGUUAGCUUAGGUAGGAUCCUGGAUUUCAUCGGGCAGCAAUGCACGUGGUCUAGGCGCACUACCAGAUCGUCCCAUGCUUUAUUAAGUGGGGCGAAUCAAGAGCGUACAUGCUGAGACCCGAAAGAUGGUGAACUAUGCUUGAGUAGGAUGAAGCCAGAGGAAACUCUGGUGGAGGUCCGUAGCGAUUCUGACGUGCAAAUCGAUCGUCAAACUUGAGUAUAGGGGCGAAAGACUAAUCGAACCAUCUAGUAGCUGGUUCCCUCCGAAGUUUCCCUCAGGAUAGCUGGCACUCGAGAAUCAAACAGUUUUAUCCGGUAAAGCGAAUGAUUAGCAGUAUUGGGGACGAAAUGUCCUCAACUGAUUCUCAAACUUUAAAUGGGUGAGAAGCUCAACUCUCUUAAAUAUGGAGUUGUGGCAUUGAAUGUGAGUGCCUAGUGGGCCAUUUUUGGUAAGCAGAACUGGCGAUGAGGGAUGAACCUAACGUCUGGUUAAGGAGCCAAACACAACGCUCAUGAGACACCACAAAAGGUGUUGGUUGAUUUUGACAGCAGGACGGUGGCCAUGGAAGUCGGAAUCCGCUAAGGAGUGUGUAACAACUCACCUGCCGAAUCAACCAGCCCUGAAAAUGGAUGGCGCUGUAGCGUUGGUCCUAUACCAGACCGUUACCGCGAAGCAGUAUGUGGUAACGAGUAGGAGGGCGCAGUGGUGAGCAUAGAAGUCUAGGCCGUGAGGCUGGAUCGAGCCGCCACUGGUGCAGAUCUUGGUGGUAGUAGCAAAUAUACAAGUGAGAACCUUGUAGACUGAAGUGGAGAAGGGUUC